GUGAGAGAGAGAGAGAGAAUGGAGCAGUCUUGGUGUGUGUGUGUGUGUGAGAGAGAGAGAAUGGAACAGUCUUGGUGUGUGUGUGUGUGAGAGAGAGAGAGAAUGGAACAGUCUUGGUGGGUGAGAGAGAGAGAGAGAGAGAGAAUGGAGCAGUCUUGGUGGGGGAGAGAGAGAGAAAGACUUAAGAGACUUAAGAGCAGACCCCAGCCACAAAGGUAGCUGUUUGGAUGAAUGGCAGUGGAUGGAGGUGUGGGUGUCUGCUCUGAGGGGCCUGUGGUGGUGGUGGUGUCGCUUUAAACAGGGUGGGCAAGAGAGCCCUCUGAUUUCUCAGACAAACAGAUAGAAGAACAUGAAGGGUUGCGAAGGGUCUGCAGCUGCUGCAGGGAGCUGUUUCAAGCCUCCCCCUCAUGUGAUUCCAUCACCUGCAAGUCCCCCAGAUGGAGGUUCUGGCAGAGGAGGAACCGGAUGGGCCCUCUCCGGCUCCCCCUCCAACUCUGGCUUCUCCGCCAACUCCAUCUUCUCCAGUUCCACAAGGGGGUACCAGGCAUCUUCGGGAGUCACCAUCGACUUGAGCCCUGCAGCAGAGAAGAUAAGAGAACGAGAUCAGGUCAUCCUCUGGUGGACAACCUUGCUGAAUUCCAUUGUGGAGAGAGUGCAUGACGCUGAGUCCUGGUGGGAGUAUCCAGUGGAAUUCGGCAAGGAGAUAAUGGAGGAUGUUACAGCGCAUCCGGACCCUGGCUCCUUCUUCAGGAAAACCCUGGACACCGUCACGGAGCUGAGGCUCCUGCUGCUUCUACUCCUGGGGUCCAUGCAAUGGUUUGACUGCCUGCAGAGGUUCUUCCUUACAUUUCUGAGAUAUAACGUGCAAGCUCUUCUUCCGGGAUCAUUAAUGAUACUUUUCAAUGUCUCCAAAGGAUGCUUAGGGGGUUUCUGGAGGAGGCCCUCUUGGCUCACAAUUUGGCCAGCAUCUUGACGGAGCUCCAAAGGUACAGCACUGCUCAGGAGCCCCAACUGCAGGCUCUGGCCCAGGAAGCCUGCAGCUGUCUCCUGCAACAUGCGGCCAGCCUGCCAGCUUUUCAUCUGACAACACUGAAGCCAAAAGAAAUAAAGAGCAACAUCCAAGGCUGAGAGAUAAGAAGCAUAAGAAAAAGAACUUGUGCAUAAGAAAAAGAACAUUUCAUAAGAAGAAUCAUAAGAACAAGAACUUGUGUCCACAGCACAACAAUUAAACCAAGGAAAUAGCCUAUCUUCCCUAAAUGCUUACCUGGAGUCAGUAAUGGGCUGGAUGAGGGAAAACAAACUGAGGUUGAAUAAAGGAAGAUGAUUGGAAUAUAGGAAGUGGCUUAGAUCUGUCUGUUCUGGAAGGGGUUACACUCCCCCAGAAAGAGUAGAGUUUUCCAGCCAAUUAAAAAUGAAGACCUUUCUAAGCCAAUGCACACACUGGAGCAGCUCUUCACUCCAACCCUGAUAUCUCAACUGCCUACAGUCCAAAAAAAUCUCAGUCAUCGGCUCUGAUUCCAAAAAAGUGUUUUCUACCUAAGUCUGAACCGGGACUUCCAGUCCGAGACAUGGAUGAUUAUGAACUCAACAGAGCCUCCAGAGACUACUCCAGUCCCAAAAAAGGGAGACCAGAGAAGCCACACCAACAUCACAGACCAAGUGGUCCAUAUGGCUAACUCUUUAUAUAUCCAGAUGAACAAACCUCCUAAAUCUUCUCCUGAUCCCAUUUUUGGGCCAAUUGAUGUGGACACUUGGCACUCUAACUUCCUACCACUGAACUCUGCUUGAAUGGACAUUGUCAAAGCUUGCUGGGGGAAACCUGCAUCGUAGUCACCUACUUCUAGGAAGCUGGAAGGUUUUUACAAGGUUCAAGCUAGGGACAGUCAAUUCCUUCUGCACCAUCCUACUCCUAACUCCAUGACAGUUGAAACUGCUCAGUUCCAUUCAAAGAACAGAAUGCUUUUGGCACUGACAGUAUGAUUCAUUCAAUAUCUGCGGUGGUAGCUCUGCACCAGCACAGAUGGAUGUGUUCAACUAGCUUGGCACCUGAAACAAGAACAAGAAUAGUGUCGUGGGCAUGCUGGAAGACUCCAAGGAGGAGUUGGAAGUGGAGACAGAGCUGAGAGCAGAGGAGGGUAGGCAAGGACCAGAAGUUGCAAAGGAGAGUGGGUCCGACGCACAAGGAGUCGAAGAUGAGAGAGCUGGGUGAGGCAGCUCUUGUGGAGGAGGCGUGACCAGUCUCAGCUGUGGAGAUGCGCCGGUCCACGAGACAGCAAGAGUUAAGGAGCCGAGUGCGUAGAAGAACAGGCAAAGGUGCUGACUCAGCAACUCUUAAUUAACAGCACCGGGGGUCAGCCUACAUAAGAUGCUACCCUGCUGAUAGCAACAAGAGUUUCCUGCGAGCUAAUCGGCUGUGUUUGUGUAUUAUUUGGACUGUGUUUGGAGCCUGCACUGUGUUGACCUUGCCUGUGGAUUUGGCUUUGGACUCUGUUGGAUUGAUUCAGACUGGACCUGGUUUGGAGAAUGGAUUCCUGUUAUAUUUUGCUCUUCUGCUUCUGCCUCUGUUGUGCUUCGUCUGGCUAGCCUGACAGAUUUACGACAAAGAGAGAACUUUCCUCUUGAUGGCCAGGCUCUUGUUGGAAAGGAUACACAAACUGAGAAAGACAGGGAAAUCUAUGAACUCUCAGCAAGCUGCCUACAAUUUUUCAAGGGGUAACAAAUAUUCCUGCUCUUCUUCUGCAACAUCAUUUUGUCCUUCCAACUACUCUCCCUCGGCCAAUCAUUCCCUUCAUCCUUCUCAGAUCUCCGAAUUUCAAAAAAGACAGGACUCAUUGGGAAAAGCCCAACAUCCCAAAUCUAAACCAUCAGUAUAUCACAAAUCUAAACCAUCGAUGUACAGCUCAUGAUUCAAGGAUCUGCAAAUAUUAUUCAUUACAGCAAUGAUGUGGACUUGGGGUUUUUUGUUCAGGACUACACAACCGAUAUUUUCCCAGUAUUUCAGAAGGCAGGAUUACUACUAAAGCACAAGUUUGGCAAGACUGGUGGAUAGUAUACAACUGCUUGUCUGUAGUCUUUUGCUCCUCUUGGGGAACCCCUCCUUUUAAAGUGUCUGCAAUGCAAAUUUACCACAAAAUCUUACAGGGAGAAUGUUUUGUGCCCUCGUCCUCACACAACAUUGAUGUGCACAGAUACCUCAGAAGCCCUAUUCAGACAUUAUGUUGUACUCAUUCAAGAUCUCUGUACACUUGUAGAUGGUUUUCUGUGAAUGACUGUAUGGGGUUCAUUUUUAAAGGGAACCUGGGUACUGGACCCUCAAA